GCGAAUGGCGAUGGUGAGUAACACGUACUCAACGUACCCCUCAGUUUGGCAUAGCGAUAGGAAACUGUCGAUAAUUCCAAAUACUCGUUGUUUUCGCAUGAAAACAACUAAAAGGUGCUUCGGCAUCGCUGAGGGAGCGGGGUGCGCAACAUUAGCUAGUUGGUGAGGUAACGGCCCACCAAGGCGAUGAUGUUUAGCGGGGUUGAGAGACUGAUCCGCCACACUGGGACUGAGAUACGGCCCAGACUCCUACGGGAGGCAGCAGUAGGGAAUAUUCCACAAUGAGCGAAAGUUUGAUGGAGCGACACAGCGUGCAGGAUGAAGGUCCUCUGGAUUGUAAACUGCUGUGGUUAAGGGAAGGAAAAAAAUAGUGGUAGGUUAAUGACAUUAUCCUUUGACGGUACCCUUUAUUAGAAAAGCAACGGCCCUAACUAUGGUUUGCCAGCAGCCGCGGUAAUACAUAGGUUGCAAGCGUUAUCCGAAUUUAUUGGGCGUAAAGCGUCUGUAGGUUGUUUAUUAAGUCUGGCGUCCAAAAAAUUUGGGGCUCAAACCCCAAACCGCGUUGGAUACUGGUAGACUAGAGUUGUUGCAGAGGUUAGCGGGAAUUCCUUGUGAAGCGGUGAAAUGCGUAGAUAUAAAGGAAGAACACCAAUAUGGCGAAGGCAGCUAACUGGGCAUACACUGACACUGAGAGACGAAAGCGUGGGGAGCAAACAGGAUUAGAUACCCUGGUAGUCCACGCCCUAAACGAUGAUCAUUAGUUGAUGGAAAAUUCAUCGACGCAGCUAACGCAUUAAAUGAUCCGCCUGAGUAGUACGUUCGCAAGAAUAAAACUUAAAGGAAUUGACGGGGAUCCGCACAAGCGUUGGAGCAUGUGGUUUAAUUUGAAGAUACGCGUAGAACCUUACCCACUCUUGACAUCUUCUGCAAAGCUAUAGAGAUAUAGUGGAGUUAC
rnacentral:rRNA from 1 species